rnacentral:lncRNA from 1 species
AGUUUCGGUUCGAUUUUUUUUUGCUUCGAUUCGGUUCGGUUUUCGGUUUUUUGAACCCACCCCUAUGUGAUAUUGUUAUUACCCUUAAACAUUCCCAUGCUAGUAUACUUUGUGGAUACAACAUGGAUUUCUAAAUUAUGUUUUCUGUUGAAUAAUUGUUUUUAUAAGCCAUCGAUCUACUUUAUGAAAUGUUAUGUGAUUUGCCUAUUUGGAAUUGUUUAUGAAGUGUGUUUUGAAAUAUAUAUAUCAUUUUGAAAUGUUUGUUAAACGUGAGGGCUAGUAAAUGACCGAUACCCUAGUGUCACGGGGUUAGGUGACAUCGAGUCUGCACCAUGUAGUAGUGGUACAUGGAUGGUCCUGCUUGGUUAAUCCGUUAUAGGGGACCAUUGUCACGCCCCGAUCCCGACAUACAUCCAGGAUCGACACAUGACGUCACCAAAUACCUGUAUCUCAACCUACCCCGCCUUUGAGAUACGUACAUAGCAUAAUUCAACAUCCAUAUCUCAUAGAAAUUUUUGUAUAUUUUAUGGUUGCAUCUAACCUCCUCGUUGCCUACGUACCCUCAAUAGGGAUCAAGUCAUUCGUAAUUCAUUGUUUCACUACAAUCGAAUAUCCAUCACAUAAAACGUUUUGUCCCAACAAUAUACCAUAAUCAUAUUAUGUGAUAUAUCAAAGAACAAAGACGAAACACAACACAUUUUCUAGCCAUAUUUAUCAACAAGUCUAAUCAUAACAAAUACAAUGAUAUCCAACAUAACAAUCCCACAUGACGAUUAACAUUUCCACCUGAUCCAUCACAUAAAUCAUCAUGUUUCACAUAUCACCGCAAACAUAGUAUGCAACAUCUCAAAGAACGGUCAACGAAGCACAAUGUUAUUAUCUAGCCACAUUGUUCAAUAAGUCUAAUCAUAAUGGCAACAAUCACAACCAUCAUUCACAAUCACAUCAAUCAAUAUCACAUAUCAUAGACCGAAAUGCAGGGCUAGAACAACACAGUUUGGCCGAAGACUACAUUUCUGGAAAGGGGAUUUUGGACCAUCCAACAAAAUCAAAGCACCAAAGGGGACUCCGGACCAUCACUCAACGGAAUCCAAAUCAAGAUACGAUUCCGGACCAUCACUCAACGGAAUCGCGGAGUAGAAGGGAUUCUGGACCAUCACUCAACGAAAUCCAAAUCAGGAUACGAUUCCAGACCAUCACUUAACGAAAUCCAAGC